rnacentral:rRNA from 1 species
GACGUAGGUGGCGAACGUUAUCCGGAAUUAUUGGGCGUAAAGGGUGCGUAGGCGGCGCGGUAAGUCGGGUGUGAAAUCUCGGAGCUUAACUCCGAAACUGCAUUCGAUACUGCCGUGCUUGAGGACUGGAGAGGAGACUGGAAUUUACGGUGUAGCGGUGAAAUGCGUAGAUAUCGUAAGGAAGACCAGUGGCGAAGGCGGGUCUCUGGACAGUUCCUGACGCUGAGGCACGAAGGUCAGGGGAGCAAACGGG